rnacentral:rRNA from 1 species
AUUGAACGCUGGCGGCAGGCCUAACACAUGCAAGUCGAGCGGAUGACGGGAGCUUGCUCCUUGAUUCAGCGGCGGACGGGUGAGUAAUGCCUAGGAAUCUGCCUGGUAGUGGGGGAUAACGUUCCGAAAGGAACGCUAAUACCGCAUACGUCCUACGGGAGAAAGCAGGGGACCUUCGGGCCUUGCGCUAUCAGAUGAGCCUAGGUCGGAUUAGCUAGUUGGUGAGGUAAUGGCUCACCAAGGCUACGAUCCGUAACUGGUCUGAGAGGAUGAUCAGUCACACUGGAACUGAGACACGGUCCAGACUCCUACGGGAGGCAGCAGUGGGGAAUAUUGGACAAUGGGCGAAAGCCUGAUCCAGCCAUGCCGCGUGUGUGAAGAAGGUCUUCGGAUUGUAAAGCACUUUAAGUUGGGAGGAAGGGCAGUAAGUUAAUACCUUGCUGUUUUGACGUUACCGACAGAAUAAGCACCGGCUAACUUCGUGCCAGCCGCCGCAGUAAAAC